rnacentral:rRNA from 1 species
GAUCCCGCCGGACCCGACUGCUAUCAGAGUGAGAUUAAGCCAUGCGAGUCAACGUAGCAAUACGUGGCAUACGGCUCAGUAACACGUAGUCAACAUAACCAAAGGACGUGGAUAAACUCGGGAAACUGAGGCUAAACCGCGAUAGAUCAAGAUACCUGGAAUGGUUUUUGAUCAAAAUCUAUAUGGCCUUUGGAUUGGACUGCGUCCGAUCAGGCUGUUGGUGAGGUAAUGGCCCACCAAACCUAUAACCGGUACGGGCUCUGAGAGGAGGAGCCCGGAGAUGGGUACUGAGAUAAGGACCCAGGCCCUAUGGGGCGCAGCAGGCGCGAAACCUCUGCAAUAGGCGAAAGCUUGACAGGGUUAUUCUGAGUGACUUUCGUUAAGAAAGUCUUUUGACACCUCUAAAAAUGGUGUAGAAUAAGGGGUGGGCAAGUCUGGUGUCAGCCGCCGCGGUAAUACCAGCACCCCGAGUGGUCGGGACGAUUAUUGGGCCUAAAGCAUCCGUAGCCGGCCUUACAAGUCCUCCGUUAAAUCCAGCUGCUUAACAGAUGGGCUGCGGAGGAUACUAUAAGACUAGGAGGCAGGAGAGGCAAGCGGUACUCAAUGGGUAGGGGUAAAAUCCGUUGAUCCAUUGAAGACCACCAGUGGCGAAGGCGGC